CAUCUUUCCGGGGGAGGAAAGCUCCGCUCUCCAAGAUGCAGGUGUAUGGAGAAGCAAGGCCUGCCGUUGCAGAAUAUUCUGUUUUCCAUGGGAACGUUCAAAUGGAUCGUGCAGAAGAAACAUUUUUCGCUUCAGACUCUGCUGCCGCUGAGAAUCUAAAGCUGUAAAAAAUGAUUUUAAAAAUUUCCCUGAGGGCCAGGGGAGUAGCUCAGCAGUGUAGCACUUGCCUGGCAAGCAUAAGGCCCUGAAUUUGAUUCUCAGUACUAAAAAAAUAAAAAUAAAAAUUGCAUUGUAACCUAAGAGGCAAUAGAUUUUAUCCCUGAGCCAUGUCCUUAACUUUCUUUCUCCAUCUCAAAUAAAUCCCUUGCUGCAAG
rnacentral:lncRNA from 1 species